UUUUAUUUUGGCUUGGAGAUUUACUGUCUGAUUUUUUUAUAUGUAAGUUUGUGUGUAAAUACUAUUUAAAUAAAAGUAUUAGGUUAAUUACAGUAUGAAGUUUUAAGUAUUAAGUAAUUUUAGAAUUAGAAAUUUGAAUCAAUGUGAACGAAAUUUGUGCCAGCAGUUGCGGUUAUACAAAUUAUGUAAGUUAAUUUUUUUUAAUAUAAUUAGAUAAAUAAUGUAUUAAUUUAAGAUUUGAUUUAUUAAGUGAAAUUUUAAAUCAUAUUUAAAUUAGUUGUUUGUUUUUGAAGUUAAGAAAUUUAGUAUUAAACUAGGAUUAGAUACCCUAUUAUUAUAAACGUAAAUAUUUUAAUUAUAAUUAUUAUAAGUUAUGGUCUUUAAAAUUAAAAAUUUUGGCGGUAUUUUAGUCUAUUCAGAGGAACCUGUUUUUUAAUUGAUAGUCCACGAUAGAUUUUACUUUACUUUUAAAUUUGUAUAUCGUCGUAGUUUGAAUAUUUUAUAAGAAUUUUAAUGUUCAAUAUUUUGUUCAGAGAGGAAUUCAGAUCAAGGUGUAGUUUAUGGUAAAGUUAAAAUGGGUUACAAUAAGUUUAUUUUUGGUUUUUAUAUUGAAAAUAUAGGAUAAAUUGGAUUUGAAAGUAAUUUUAUUUAAUUAUUUAAAAUGAUUUUGCUCUAAAAUAUGCACAUAUUGCCCGUCGCUUUCACUUUAAGGUGAAAUAAGUCGUAACAAAGUAGAUUUAUUGGAAAAUGAAUCUAGAA
rnacentral:rRNA from 1 species